CGGUGUUUAACUGGCGUGAUGUGGGACGUCCUACCGGUGGGCUUAGCCUCGCGAGGGGCGGCCCAACUAAUAUCCCGUCGCGGUGCUCUUUACUGAGUGUCGAGUCGGGCCGGUACGUUUACUUUGAACAAAUUAGAGUGCUUAAAGCAGGCUAUCCUCGCCUGAAUACUGCGUGCAUGGAAUAAUGGAAUAGGACCUCGGUUCUAUUUUGUUGGUUUUCGGAACCCCGAGGUAAUGAUUAAUAGGGACAGAUGGGGGCAUUCGUAUUGCGACGUUAGAGGUGAAAUUCUUGGAUCGUCGCAAGACGGACAGAAGCGAAAGCAUUUGCCAAAAAUGUUUUCAUUAAUCAAGAACGAAAGUUAGAGGUUCGAAGGCGAUCAGAUACCGCCCUAGUUCUAACCAUAAACGAUGCCAGCUAGCGAUCCGCCGAAGUUCCUCCGAUGACUCGGCGGGCAGCUUCCGGGAAACCAAAGCUUUUGGGUUCCGGGGGAAGUAUGGUUGCAAAGCUGAAACUUAAAGGAAUUGACGGAAGGGCACCACCAGGAGUGGAGCCUGCGGCUUAAUUUGACUCAACACGGGAAACCUCACCAGGCCCAGACACCGGAAGGAUUGACAGAUUGAUAGCUCUUUCUUGAUUCGGUGGGUGGUGGUGCAUGGCCGUUCUUAGUUGGUGGAGCGAUUUGUCUGGUUAAUUCCGAUAACGAACGAGACUCUAGCCUGCUAAAUAGGCGUACCUUAUGGUAUCGCGAAGGCCCCCGGCUUCAGCCGGUGGGUUUUUACUACCAACGUACAAACAAAUCUUCUUAGAGGGACAGGCGG
rnacentral:rRNA from 1 species